AACAAAAUCCGAUAAGUUGAAGUAAUGCAUGCAAUUGCUGGUCAUCCUGAUUUAUAACUUAUUAAUAAAAUUCAUGCAAUGGUAAAUAACAGUAUGAGGACACAAAAAAUUUAUCAUCAUUUGUGAACCUCGGAGAUGGUACAAAAUAUGAUUUUAUCGAUUUUUUUUUUCUUCGAUUCUUCAUAUUCACACAAAUCAGGAAGUACAGUAAUAAGGAAGAGUAUGGUAAAAAUCAUGUUCAAGAAUAAUUAUCAUAUUCUUUUUUUCAUUGUCUUUUCUUCAAAUUCUUUAUUAUGACAAUAACUAUCAAAACAAAAUUAUUAAUAAACAUGUCCGUAAUAAUACUUAGAAAAACAGUUGUGAUCAUUAGAAUUGAAUUCUAAACUGAAUAUAAGUUCUGUCGAUAUAUGCUCUAAAUUGAAACUACAAUUGGGAAACCCCUAAAAGCAUGCACAUAUAUUUAUUAUCAAUCAAUAUUUUACACUAAGUCUUGUCAUUUUGCCAACCUUGUCAGAGAUACAACAUCGAGACGUUGAACAGAAAACCAACUACAUAUAGAAAUAAUGGACCAAUACAUCCAAAAUGGCUAAAUCAUUGCCUCCUGUGUCUGCUGACAAAUCUGCUAUGGACACUUUCCAUGUUCCCGGAAAAAUAAGGGUCCCUCACUAUGGAAAACAAAUUUCUGUCUAUCCUGAGGUAAAUGUUGAUGAAGACAGUGACCAAGAAGACAGUGAGCAAAUCCAAAUGUUCAGUGAAAAUGACAAUUGAUUCGAGCGGACUCUUACUGACUCUUCUCCUAGGAAAGCCAAACGCCUAUUCAAAAUUUAAGGACAUCCGAAGAACAAAAAACAAGUCAACCUUACGAUGCCAAAUAAAAAUGUUAUAAUUUCUGCUUAUGCACAGAGGUUGCCAUGCAAGUGAAAACAGGUUUUCACCCAUGAAACUGGCGACUAGACUCAUCGCUAUAUGAGUGAGAAGUGAAUGAAAAAUACGCUUAAAAUGAAGUUACUAUUUAUAAGACAAUAAAAAGUAUGAAAGGACUAUUAGCGCUAGAAAGAGCAAACAUGAAGACCAGAAAAAUGAACGCCGUUCAAAGACGAGAACUUCAAGAUGACAUUGCAUGUGUACGUUACGUUUUAGCAUAAAUUUGGGAACUGAUUGUUACAUGAACUGUCAUAAACUUCCAUUAAAUGCAUUUGUAUUUGUUUCAAUAACAUUAAAGUGAUGAAAUCAU